CCAUCUUUGUUAUUAGAUGGAGAAGCCAAAUAUCUUUUUUGGAGAUCAAAACCUAAAGCCUAAUGUCUAGAGAAGCCAAAUAUCAAAACCCUAAAGUACAAUAUCUCCCACAGAUGUAAUACAUUGAACUAACAAUGGAGGACGGCCGGAGAGCAAACCACAAUAAAUCAAAAUGGGCAAAAUUGAUGCUUUCUCAUUCCUGAGCAACAGUGCCAAUUCUUCUUCCAUGGGCUCAGCUUCAGCUGUCGCUGUUGCAAAGGGUGGGAGGUGAUCUUUUCAGGACCUUUCGGCAUCAACAAAAUUGUGAACUUAAUAUGAGCAACAACGUCACCGGACUUUUCAUGGAGAACAGGGUAUGUCUGCAAAAGA